GACGAACGCUGGCGGCGUGCCUAAUACAUGCAAGUAGAACGCUGAAGGAGGAGCUUGCUCUUCUGGAUGAGUUGCGAACGGGUGAGUAACGCGUAGGUAACCUGCCUGGUAGCGGGGGAUAACUAUUGGAAACGAUAGCUAAUACCGCAUAACAGUAGAUGUUGCAUGACAUUUGCUUAAAAGGUGCAAUUGCAUCACUACCAGAUGGACCUGCGUUGUAUUAGCUAGUUGGUGGGGUAACGGCUCACCAAGGCGACGAUACAUAGCCGACCUGAGAGGGUGAUCGGCCACACUGGGACUGAGACACGGCCCAGACUCCUACGGGAGGCAGCAGUAGGGAAUCUUCGGCAAUGGACGGUAGUCUGACCGAGCAACGCCGCGUGAGUGAAGAAGGUUUUCGGAUCGUAAAGCUCUGUUGUAAGAGAAGAACGAGUGUGAGAGUGGAAAGUUCACACUGUGACGGUAUCUUACCAGAAAGGGACGGCUAACUACGUG
rnacentral:rRNA from 1 species